rnacentral:tRNA from 2 species
UUAAUUGAAACCAAAAAGAGGUAUAUCACUGUUAAUGAUAAAAUUGAAUUUAAAUAUUUCCAAUUAAA